rnacentral:rRNA from 1 species
UACGGGGGGGGCAAGCGUUGUUCGGAAUUACUGGGCGUAAAGGGCUCGUAGGCGGCCAACUAAGUCAGACGUGAAAUCCCUCGGCUUAACCGGGGGAACUGCGUCUGAUACUGGAUGGCUUGAGUAUGGGAGAGGGAUGCGGAAUUCCAGGUGUAGCGGUGAAAUGCGUAGAUAUCUGGAGGAACACCGGUGGCGAAGGCGGCAUCCUGGACCAUUACUGACGCUGAGGAGCGAAAGCCAGGGGAGCAAAGCGGG